GUGGUAUUAAUUCGAUGCAACGCGAAAAACCUUACCUACCCUUGACAUGUCUGGAACCUUGCUGAGAGGCGAGGUGCCUUCGGAGCCAGAACACAGGUGCUGCAUGGCUAUCGUCAGCUCGUGUCAUGAGAUGUUGGGUUAAGUCCCGCAACGAGCGCAACCCUUGUCAUUAGUUGCCAUCAUUUAGUUGGGCACUCUAAUGAGACUGCCGGUGACAAACCGGAGGAAGGUGGGGAUGACGUCAAGUCAGCAUGGCCUUUAUGUCCUGGGCUACACACACGCUACAAUGGCCAGUACAAUUGGUAGCUAAGCCGCGAGGUGGAGCCAAUCCGUAAAAGCUGGCCUCAGUUCAGAUUGUAGGCUGCAACCCGCCUGCAUGAAGAUGGAGUUGCUAGUAACCGCAGGUCAGCAAUACUGCGGUGAAUACGUUCCCGGGUCUU
rnacentral:rRNA from 1 species